AAAAGUGUGUCAGAAGUUAGUGUCGGUUUAGACCGACACCAACAUUAAUUUAAACCGACACUGUGAUUUCCAAUAAAGAAUGUCAGACUUCACGUGACUCUCUCUCUCUUACACACACAUCAGUGUCACAUCAUUUUUUAUUUUCUUUCUCUUUGGUCGGUUCCUCACAUGGGUUCUUUAUCUCUCUCUGACACACAUGCCUCAUUUCUCUCACAUUAUUAUUUUUUUAACUGGUUCUUCUUCACCCUCUCUUUUCCGUCUCCAUAAUGUCUCUCUCUGUACCCACACUCAAGCUUCUUUCAUCCUUCCCUCUCUCAUUCCUAUUCUCUCUCUUUUUCCUCGACUUCUCCAUUUCCCAUCCCUCCAUCUUCUUCUCUUUUGGGCGGGAUAUUUCCCCUCCAUUUUUUAAACGAAAAAGAGGAUAUCAGUCUCCUUAUUUCAAGAGGCUCACCUCCCUCAUUUAUCUCUCCCUUCUUCCAAGCACACCCUAAAACUACAGCUUCUCUCUCCACAUUUUCUCAUACCCUAACCUCCUUUUCUGUAAACCAAACCUUAAUCUUCCAUCAUCAACCCAUAAGACCUUGCAACCAUGGAUUUAUUGCAUCACCAGAAGGGUAGCAACACCGAUCUUGGUGCCGACACACUCAGGACCCGAGAUCUGUACAAAAAAAAAAAAAAAGAAAAAAAAAAAAAAAGACGAUGCAACCAUUGGUACAGCCCCAAAUCGCAUCUCAAGGAAAAACCACCAGAGAAUUGUCUCCGUUCUAGAUCCAUCAUUUAAAGGUAUAACAACAAAAUCUAUUCUAAUUGGAUGAUUUCGUGGUGAAAAGGUAGGAAGAAUAAGUGGAACUUUUGAUGUAUUUAUAAUCUUCCAUGUAGCUAUUAAUAUGUGAAUGCUAAGCAGUCUAAUGCAUGACUCACUAAAGCUAUAAUCUCCACUGAGCUCCUCUUUUAUGUUCUUGUUCAGUAAGAUCAACAGUUCGAAAAUCCAUAUAAAAAUCCAUGCAUGUUCAUUUUGGAUUUGAAGAGCAAGGACACUGGAAAUUUCAGAUCCAUAAUUUUUGAAAGGUAUAAAACCUGAAUUUAAUCUAUAAAGAUUAGAGCCCUAAUGUUGAAGUAGUAAAGUAUUGGAGCAUUGAUAUGAUGGCAAGCAUGGUUGCAUGGAGCUACUAGUAUUAUAUAUGGCAGCAUGGAGCUACAGAAUAUGUGGUCUUCGACAAAGGCAAGCACGGGAAUGCAUCAUGGCAGCUGCUAGUAUUAUACGCAAGCAUGGAGCUCUGAUUAGUAUUAUAUGUAAUUGUUAGUUUUUUUAUCUUCAUCUUGUAACCGGUUCUCUAAUAGCUUUGUACUUACUUGUUUAUAUGAAAUAGAAUGCAUUUAACAAGAAA